CCUACGGGAGGCAGCAGUGGGGAAUCUUGCGCAAUGGGCGAAAGCCUGACGCAGCCAUGCCGCGUGAAUGAUGAAGGUCUUAGGAUUGUAAAAUUCUUUCAGUAGGGACGAUAAUGACGGUACCUACAGAAGAAGCCCCGGCUAACUUCGUGCCAGCAGCCGCGGUAAUACGAAGGGGGCUAGCGUUGCUCGGAAUUACUGGGCGUAAAGGGAGCGUAGGCGGACAUUUAAGUCAGGGGUGAAAUCCCAGAGCUCAACUCUGGAACUGCCUUUGAUACUGGGUGUCUUGAGUGUGAUAGAGGUAUGUGGAACUCCGAGUGUAGAGGUGAAAUUCGUAGAUAUUCGGAAGAACACCAGUGGCGAAGGCGACAUACUGGAUCAUUACUGACGCUGAGGCUCGAAAGCGUGGGGAGCAAACAGGAUUAGAUACCCUGGUAGUCCACGCCGUAACGAUGAUGNUAGUGUCGGUUGUUACUACUCGUGACGCAGCUACGACAUAAGACACUCCGCCGUGGGAGGUACGGUCGCGAAGAAGUUAAACUAACGUAAAGUAAGUUAGUUACGGUCGUUGAGACGUUGCCGACGGACGACGACGAGGGAGGAGG
rnacentral:rRNA from 1 species